rnacentral:rRNA from 1 species
GACACGGCCCAGACUCCUACGGGAGGCAGCAGUGGGGAAUCUUCCGCAAUGGACGAAAGUCUGACGGAGCAACGCCGCGUGAGUGAUGACGGCCUUCGGGUUGUAAAGCUCUGUUAAUCGGGACGAAAGGCCUUCUUGCGAAUAGUGAGAAGGAUUGACGGUACCGGAAUAGAAAGCCACGGCUAACUACGUGCCAGCAGCCGCGGUAAUACGUAGGUGGCAAGCGUUGUCCGGAAUUAUUGGGCGUAAAGCGCGCGCAGGCGGAUAGGUCAGUCUGUCUUAAAAGUUCGGGGCUUAACCCCGUGAUGGGAUGGAAACUGCCAAUCUAGAGUAUCGGAGAGGAAAGUGGAAUUCCUAGUGUAGCGGUGAAAUGCGUAGAUAUUAGGAAGAACACCAGUGGCGAAGGCGACUUUCUGGACGAAAACUGACGCUGAGGCGCGAAAGCCAGGGGAGCGAACGGGAUUAGAUACCCCGGUAGUCCUGGCCGUAAACGAUGGGUACUAGGUGUAGGAGGUAUCGACCCCUUCUGUGCCGGAGUUAACGCAAUAAGUACCCCGCCUGGGGAGUACGACCGCAAGGUUGAAACUCAAAGGAAUUGACGGGGGCCCGCACAAGCGGUGGAGUAUGUGGUUUAAUUCGACGCAACGCGAAGAACCUUACCAGGUCUUGACAUUGAUGGACAGAACCAGAGAUGGUUCCUCUUCUUCGGAAGCCAGAAAACAGGUGGUGCACGGUUGUCGUCAGCUCGUGUCGUGAGAUGUUGGGUUAAGUCCCGCAACGAGCGCAACCCCUAUUGUUAGUUGCCAUCAUUCAGUUGGGCACUCUAGCGAGACUGCCGGUAAUAAACCGGAGGAAGGUGGGGAUGACGUCAAAUCAUCAUGCCCCUUAUGACCUGGGCUACACACGUGCUACAAUGGCUGGUACAACGAGUCGCAAGCCGGUGACGGCAAGCUAAUCUCUUAAAGCCAGUCUCAGUUCGGAUUGUAGGCUGCAACUCGCCUACAUGAAGUCGGAAUCGCUAGUAAUCGCAGGUCAGCAUACUGCGGUGAAUACGUUCCCGGGCCUUGUACACACCGCCCGUCACACCACGAAAGUCGGAAGUGCCCAAAGCCGGUGGGGUAACCUUCGGGAGCCAGCCGUCUAAGGUAAAGUCGAUGAUUGGGGUGAAGUCGUAACAAGGUAGCCGUAUCGGAAGGUGCGGCUG